rnacentral:rRNA from 1 species
UACGUAGGCAGCGAGCGUUGUUCGGAAUUACUGGGCGUAAAGAGUGUGUAGGCGGUGCUCCCAGUCUGUUGUGAAAUCUCCCGGCUCAACUGGGAGGGUGCGCCGGAUACUGAGGGGCUAGAGUGUGGGAGAGGAAAGUGGAAUUCCUGGUGUAGCGGUGAAAUGCGUAGAUAUCAGGAGGAACACCGGUGGUGUAAACGGCUUUCUGGACCAUAACUGACGCUGAGGCACGAAAGCGUGGGUAGCAAACAGG